rnacentral:rRNA from 1 species
UACGGAGGGUGCAAGCGUUAUCCGGAUUCACUGGGUUUAAAGGGUGCGUAGGCGGGCCGGUAAGUCAGUGGUGAAAUCUCCGGGCUUAACCCGGAAACUGCCGUCGAUACUAUCUGUCUUGAAUAUCGUGGAGGUAAGCGGAAUAUGUCAUGUAGCGGUGAAAUGCUUAGAUAUGACAUAGAACACCCAUUGCGAAGGCAGCUUACUACACGAUCAUUGACGCUGAGGCACGAAAGCGUGGGGAGCAAACAGG